AGAGAGCAGCAGGCAGCGUCUGAGCUUCUUCCUUUCCUCUCUUCCCCCUUUCCUCCCUCCCCAUACCCUUCUACAGUUCCUGGAAUGAGUAAGAGAGUCUGGAAGAGCAAGGGGCUGAGAGCCUUCAGUGCCUGCAGAAAAGCCUGGAGAUUCUUGGCUGCGUAGAAAUGCGGUCCUGGUCUCACUUGGCUACUGAGCCAUCCCAUAAACUUCAGUGAUAUUGACAUUGACAUUGAAUUUCUCACCCCCACUGAGAGCAGGGUUGGUUUGUAUGUUUGUUUGUUGUUGUUUUGAGACAGGGUCUUGCUCUGUCACCCAGGCUGGAGUGCAGUGGUGUGAUCCUGGCUCACUGCAGCCUCAAUUUCCCAGGCUCAUGCAAUCCUCCCACCUCAGCCUCCCCAGUACCUGGGACCACAGGCACAUGCCACCACACCUGGCUUUUAAAAUUUUUUUUGUAGAGACAAGGUCUCAGUAUGUUGCCCAGUCUACUCUCAAACUCUUGGGUUCAAGUGAUCCUCUCACCUCAGCCUCCCAGAGUGCUGGGAUUACAGGCAUGAGCCACCAUGCCUGGCCGAGGGCAAGUUUUAAUAAGGAGAAGAGGCCAGAAGAUGAGACACUUUCGGGAGAAGUGGAGAUGGGAGAAAGGGGUUCUUUUAAGGCCGGGUGUGGUGGCUCACGCCUGUAAUCCCAGCACUUUGGGAGGCCAAGGUGGGUGGAUCACGAGGUCAGGAGUUCAAGACCAGCCUGGCCAAGAUGGUGAAACCCCAUCUCUACUAAAAAUACAAAAAUUAGUACGGCACGGUGGCAAGCACUUGUAAUCCCAGCUACUCAGGAGGCCGAGGCAGGAGAAUCGCUUGAACCUGGGUGGCAGAGGCUGCAGUGAGCCGAGAUCAUGCCACUGCACUCCAGUAUGAGCGAUAGGGUGAGACUCCAUCUCAAAAAAAAAAAGGUUGGGGGGGGUUCUUCUAUGAGUGGAGGGGCUCUCACGCCUGUUAAUCACCUAGCAUGUGCCAGGAGCUGCCCAGAGGCUGAGUUACAUCACCCAACUCCAUCUUCACGACAGUCCUAUGCCAGGAUUUAACCAGCUCCAUUUCACAGAUGAGGAUGUGGAGGCUCAGGGGAGAUAAUGUCCCCUAAUCAAGGUCACACAGCCAGGAGGGAGUGAAGUCAGGAUUCCUACCCAGAAGCCCCUGCUCUUCCUACUGUGCCCCUUCUGGGGUUGGUGUGGGCAUGAAGAAUUGGUGCACAUUUUACAACCUUGCCCCAUAAAAGCAGCAAUAUUGAGGAGGUAGAGGGGACCUGACAGGCCACACAGCUGAGGCUCUGUGGCCUGAGGCAGCCAAGGCCUAAGUCCAUCAUCCAAGCAGCCAAGACCCACCACCCUCCAGAAGGCUCAGCAGGUCAUGCCUCAGGGGCUCCAAAAUGGCCAGGCAGGCUGAGAAAAUCUCCAGGUUGUGCAGCGGGGCCUGCAAUCCUGAAACCAGAAACUGCAACUCCAC
rnacentral:lncRNA from 1 species